rnacentral:rRNA from 1 species
CCUACUCCCCUGGUGUCGCUUCGCCCCUCCCCAACGACCNCCGGGCCCGCGGUUACCGAACCCUCAGUAGUUACGGAACCGCGUCGGGCGGCGAGGUACCUUAAACACAUGACAAGGUCGAGGACCGGAAAGAUGAUAGUCUUGCUAUCGAGGCGCGAGCGGCGGAGGNGAUAUAGUAGAUCUACUAGUGGGAGGANUCGGAACGGACAUAAUUACGCCNUAGACACGGAGGAAGGAGGGCAACUUGUUGCUCUCGCUAUUAGAUGAGCCUAAGUCGGAUUAGCUAGAUGGUG